rnacentral:rRNA from 1 species
UUGAAGAGUUUGAUCAUGGCUCAGAUUGAACGCUGGCGGCAGGCCUAACACAUGCAAGUCGAACGGUAACAGGAAACAGCUUGCUGUUUCGCUGACGAGUGGCGGACGGGUGAGGAAUGCUUGGGAACUUGCCUUUGCGAGGGGGAUAACAGUUGGAAACGACUGCUAAUACCGCAUAAUGUCUACGGACCAAACAGGGCUUCGGCUCUGGCGCAAAGAGAGGCCCAAGUGAGAUUAGCUAGUUGGUGAGGUAAAGGCUCACCAAGGCAACGAUCUCUAGCUGUUCUGAGAGGAAGAUCAGCCACACUGGGACUGAGACACGGCCCAGACUCCUAC